CGGAGCGAACAAGAUGCUCCACUCUGUCCUUCACAUGCCAGAUGCAUGCAACUGGCAGGCAGCAAACCUCCCUCAUGUCAAGGUUGGGGUGGCACACUGCUGCCUCAGUGCCCCUCAGCAGAGAGUCCCCAACGACAAUCACCUGCCACUGUGUCUUCCUGGUGGUGGUGGACGGCUGUGCCCUGGCCCUCGCCUCUCCUGCAGCGGCCGCCUUGCCCCUUGUGGCCCCAGGCUGGGGGUCCUGCUGGUCCCCCAAUGUCUCAUCAGCCCCAGCCUCCCCAAACAGGGAGAACCUGUUUCCCAGCUCCAGAUUGGUGCCAGGAGGAGGAGGCCGUGCUGCAAUACAAAAGUAAAACCUACAUAUUAGGGAUAACUGCACAUAAAUAUGUGUAUUUUAGAAAGGUUGUUUCAAAAUGCAUUGGGUUAGGAUGAGGCUUUCAAAAAGUAUAUGUUAGGCAAACUAAUAUUCAGAACCACAUGCAUUACAGAAAUGCACAAAAAUGCAUGCAAAUAUUGAUGCAAACUUCAGAAAGGAUUCUCGAAGUUCAGAAUGAACUCCAUUAUCAGCCACUUCAUGUACCCUUAAUAACCCACAAGUCAGCUCUUGACAUCUUGUCUCCCUGUUCCAGUGUUCUGUUGUGCUACAAUAUGGCCAAAACACGGAAUCCAGGAUGUGGGUGGACAGAGGUAGGCUUUUCUCUCCAUGACUGGGAUCUCCAGGGUGAAGAACCAUGAUAAGCCAACAACUUAAUUGUAUACCUAAUGAUAUCUCUUUUACUGAUGCAUCUCUGUAUUUUCUCCCAUGUAAGUCAUAUACUCAUGUGGCUAAAAGUAAAGGGUUGCACUACAUAUGCAUUUAUUUUGAGUAUUUUUAUCCAGCUCCUCAACCUAAAAGUCUCCCAGAAUGGCUUAUACAUAUUCAGUAAAAAAUAGACAAUCCUUGCCUGCAGGCUUGCAAUCUAAAACAACAUAAAGCACAAGGGAAAAUGAAUGGGUGGUGAAGAGGAAACAAACAGUUCUUCAGCAGGGAUGGUGGAAUGGCCCUGCUUCAUGGUCAUCCCUCCCCUGCAGGAAUGGCUGAUGGCGGUAACAGUGGAGGGAAGAGAGGCUUUCAUGAGAUAGAUCUUAUUUUUAUAUCUAUUAUUUUACAUCACACCUAUUUUCCUUCCAAGGAAUUCCGAGUGGCUUACAUAAUCCCCUUCCUCCUCUCAAUCCUACCCUCACAGCAGCCCUGUGAUGUAGGUUGGGUUGAGAGUCUGUGACUGGCCCAAAGUCUCCCAGUGCAUUCCAUGGCCAAGUGUGGACUAGAACUCAGAUCACCUGUGUCCCAGUUCCAUGCUCUUAACCGGGACACCACAAUGGCUGUCAAGCAGGACUAGUGGAAAGGCCAGCCUUCCUCUCACAUCCCCAAGUAUGGAAUGGCUGCUAGUGGCAGCUGAGGGAGAAGACUUCAAGGGGCCGAUCUCCAUGGCUGGUGGAACGGGCUCAUUUCAGAUCUCCUCACCCCCAUGCAGAUUGCUGGAAUGGCCAGUGAUAUUCCCUGUUGGAGUGGAAGGAGCCUUCAUGAGGGCCCCAUCAGCAGGACUGAAGGAAUGGACCUGCUCCCUUUCUCACCUCCCUCAGCCCGCUGGAAUGGCUGCUGCUGCUGCUGAGAGCGGGAGGAGGAGGAGCUGUCAUGGGGUGUCCCCACUGUGGUGAGGAAGAAAGCAGUCUGCUCUUUCCCCUUCUGGCACCACUAGCUACCUAGCUGGAACUGACACAUUUAGCAGUGAGGCACAGUGACCCACCUUCUUCCCUUCAGAAGGACUUGCAAUGCACAUGCCCACCCUGCUCUCUCUCUCACACACACACCCCACCACCACUAUCACCCAUCAUAAUGACAGGCAUUUUGCUAGUUUCUAGUAAACCAACAGCUCUGCACAAUAGUCAGCUCAUUAAUCUAAUCUCUUCCCUCCCUUCCCAUCAAGAGCACAAUGAAGGGGAAAUGCAGCUAAACAAAGGCUCCAUGUUUUCAGUGAAUUCUGUCCUGAGAUUCCAAACACUUUGUGCCAAAUCUUGCUUACCAUAAUUGCAUGAAUAGCUGCAUUGAAACUAAUAGGAGUGGUGGCAUUGUGGUUUUGUGUGGGUCAAACCCCUUUGAGAAUUGAAUUAUUUUCUAUGUUUCAGCACUUCCCAGGCGACAGUGCCAUGGCUGAAAAGGUAUGAGGGACUCACAGCAAAACAGAAAAAUGUAGUUGACUUCAUAUAAAAUCGAUGAGGCAGAGAAGCAUAGAUGCAAGAAACAGGAGGUUUUAUUGCUUUCAUUAUCUUUGAGCAAAUUCACCCAAGCUUAGAAGUCUGAUGUUUGUUUUUCUUUUUUCAAAAUUAAAAUAAAAACUAAGCAAAAGCACUUUCCCUACAAUAUUGCAGAAAGUUAAUCUGAGAAAGAACAUCACAUCGAUUCCUAACACCACCAUGUCCCUUCCUAAUAUUGUGAAACCCACCAGGAAAUUGUGUGUGAUAUAAUGGAUACAUACAUGUCUAAUUAAGAAAACUUGGCAAUCAUUUUAAGAGAUGGCAACAUAUGCCUCUGACAUACCAAAACUAUAGCUAUUUAAAACUAUCUCAUGUUUAGUGUCCCCUUCUAUAUGGGUGACAGAACAUUUCUCCACAAGUGCUUUCUGCUGCAUACACCUGUUCACAAAAAGGGAAAAGGUUAAAAUGAGGGGACCUGCCCUCUCUCUCAGGGCCUUUGGGACAAUGAAUGCUGAGCUGUAGAUAAAAGCAGCCCUUUCUCCACCUUCUCCAUAGAACUGAGUUGACAGCAUCUCCACCCACAUGAGGAAAGCAAGGGAAAUGAAAAUGAGAGAAUUAUGGAAGGAAGAAUUAUAUUCCCUCUUAGGGACUUCUCAAUCAGUUGGAAGUUCCUUGAAUUCUGUUGCCUGAGGAUGCUAACCUGUGCUGCCUAUUGAGCUGGAUGUGCAGUUAUUCUAAGAAACUGUAAACCUUUUCUAAAUAUCUAAGUAAUCCAUUAAACACGGUUCAAGGAGGCCUCUUCUCCUGCUAUCAUCCUUUGAACUGUUUCUAUGGAAUGUUCUCUAUAUUCAGGAAAUUUUGCAGGUUGCCAAACUGUCAGCUAAUGCUGUAAUGAAUGGUUCUAAUUACAUUCAAGUAGCAGAGAGCGUUGCCAUUUUAAUCAAAUCUGAUCCUUGCAAGCUAUUUGGCAGGAGCACAAGAGAAGGCCAGAAGGAAGUACUGCCAAACUGUGAGUAACCUUUUUAUUCUAAAUUCUGCCUGUCGACAGACUGGAUACUCAACUGCUUAGAGAAGGGUUGGUUUUGUUUUUGAAGUAGCUUUAUGGCUUUGCCACAAAUUAUACAUGGGUCAAACAAUUUCAGGCAUCACAGCACUAUUCAAAGCACAAGUCCAUUCUAUAGGUAUCAUCCUUCUUAGCAAAGGCCUAUUUGGCCAGAAUUCAAAUUCAGCUUACAUCCCCAUAUGUUUUCUUUUCCAUGGGCAUUUCUCUAUCUGACAGGCUAUCAGAGGACUGUCCUCUAUUCUGAAGGUGUCCACUCUUCAAGGGGCUGUCCAGUUGAAGAAUCCAUCAGAGUCAAAGAACCAUCAGAAGGAAGAGGUGGACCUUGAAGUUGCCUAGCAAAAUAGGAGACUGAAGCUAGUCACAGUUUUCUACAUUAUGGUGAAAUGAAUCUUGGCAGAAUCUGCAACAGCUUCAAGAGGAUUCAGACUUCUGUGAAUACAGCCUAAAUGUACAAACAUUCCCUGGGCAAGGAUCGAUCUGUCUCCAAGCAAGCAUGCCAGCACCUUGACUUCAUUCAUGCAUCAUCUGCUGUAACUCACCUGUACACAAGUGUGACUACAAAGCCAACAAUGUGGGAAGAGAAAGGUCAAUUUUGAAUUGACAAUGCAGAAGUGACAACCUAACCAAAGCAGACAGCCUAAUUCUGAAGUACGUAAUGUUGAUCUCUAUGGAAAGAUCUCAGUAAAUAGGGAAUGUUUCAAAUACACACGCGCGCACACCACCAUUAUUAAUACCAAAGAUGAUUCCUUAAGAGGACAAGUUUCAAAAUAUAUAGGAUGAUUCAGUUUCAGAUUCUAAGAACUAGUGCUGUAUUUACACACACACACACACACACUUUUAGUAGUAGCCCUAAAGAGUUAAGAGGAAUGCUUUCUGCUUGCUUUUCAGAGCAAACAAUCUUAGAAUGCAAUCCUAUCACCUCACAACAUUGUGGAUGGAGGGGUGGGACAUAGGAUUAUUUGGAGGCCCAGCUCUUACAGUCCUGCAGCAGAGUUUCCAAAGACUUGCAUGCACAUGCCCACACAAACAGAACUGGGAUGGGACUCGGAGCCAACAAAUGGGGCUUCCAGGGGCUGGAGAGGGAAAGAGGAUGGGGCUGUGCACUUAGGCCAAUUCCCAGCAAGCAUUCCAGCCUCUCUCCUUCCCCCUUCCUGGUGCUUUAUGAAGGUGUCAGACAUGGCUGUCUAGGUAAAAACCAGCACACAAGCCACAGCUGUAGCAUAGGUCACCUCUGCUACACCUCUUUCAGGUAACAGGAUGCCUAGAUGCUUCCAAGUUCUGAGGUUCGCAGGCAUCACAGUGGGGAAUUAGAAUCCAAUCCUCAUUCUUCUUGACUGUUUCUGGCCUUCACUGUUUACAACAGCCAGUUCUUAAUAAAUAUGAUGCUUUCAAAGUACUUAUUUCACAGCAAACAAGAUGCAAAUAUGGGAAAGAAUUUGCAUUUGGACAUCAGUUGGUAGCAGUUUACAUCGUGGUAUUCUGUCAAAAAAUAUACGAGAUUGUUUACCACAUUCUCUCCCAUCAUGUCUGAGUAUAUAUUGUCUUGAAUAUCUGGAGAAAGGGUGACUCAGACAUUUGAAAAAUUAAUUUACCUUGUGCUCUCAGGUGGCAUUUUCUCUCUUCCCCUCCUUCACUGAGCACUAGCCAUUACUGAAGAGAAAGACCAGUGUGAACUGCCUGCAUAGGGCUGUAGCUCAGAUGCAGCAAACCUGCUUUGCAUGCUCAAUGCCCCAGCUUCAAUCCCCAGCAUCUCCAGCAGGGCUAGGAAAAAUCCAGCCUGAAACCCUGAGAGCUGCUACCAGUCAGAGCCAACAAGCUGGUCUAGAUGGAUCCAAGGUGUGACACAGUAUGAAGUAGCUUCCUAUGUUCAAAGUACCCACAAUUUCCUCUCUUGUCCCACUGCUAUCACAACCCAGCAAGGCCUGGGCAUGAUGUUGGCCACCCAUUCCUGUAAGGUUGCAUCUGAACCUGCUCAGACAAUGGGUGCAACCCUCAACAUUCAAGGUUGCAGGUCCCAUGCCUUCUUUCCUCCACCUUCACAGAGAUGCCAUCUUUUGAGAGAGGUCAAGCAACUCAUGUAGGGUGGUUCCACGUAGUACUUUAUGCAAACAGUGCAACCAUGCAAGAUGGCAGUUAAUCACUACAUUUUAAUGGGUUUACCCGUUACAUCAAUGUUUUAUUUAAAAAGCCAAAACCCUAAAGGAAAGUCAAGGAUUUCUGAAGUUUUUUAAGCCUCCAAUUCCACAUGCACUUACCUGGGAGUAAGUAGCAUUGAUGUCAGGGGAACUUAUCUUGUACAAAGCACAGUAUGGAUGUACUAAAAGAGGAGCAAUAUUCUGUUUGUUGUUAUUAAUGAAUUACAAUAAUAUUCCAAAUGAUAUUUAUUAUCACUCAAUGCUUCUAAAUAAUUCACAUUUUAUGAAUGUUUUACAGCACUGAUUUUAUAUUUAAGUUGGACUGAAUUGAGAUAUACUGCUCAAAAUAAGGAAAUAUACAAUUCUACACAGAAGAAAAAAAAGGCAUUGCACCAUUGUCACAUCUAUCUUUAAUUCCUUCUCAUCCCAGUUAUGGGAGAUUCCCAUUACAUACAUUUAGCUGAGCAGGGAUUGUUGGUUUGUUGUUGUUUUUUCCAAGUGCAGGGAGCUCUUGAUUUAAAUAAAAUCUGCAUCUUACAUUUUAUACCAUUAGUCUGUUACUGACUGUCAGGGACAGGGGAAAGUGAACUUAAUAAAAAUGAAACAUGUAAGCUAAAGUGUUCUUGUUUUUCUGGUGUGCUAAGGCAUGUGAAUCUUCUGCAAUAUAAAAACGGGGUACCAGAUGUUAAAAAGCACUGGUCUUUUUUUAAGUGUUCCUUUUACUGCAGGCAACCUAAAAAUAUUAAAUGAGUAGGGUUAUAUUUAGCAUUGUUGAGAUGUUGUUGCCAUGUUGGCCCCAAAGAUGAGACAAUUCUUGAGCUUCUGUGCCUGCCUUCCCCAACCUGGUGCCUUUGAGAUGUGUUGAACUACAACUACUACUACUGCCAUCCCCAGAUAUGCUGGGUAGGGAUGAUGGGGGUUGCAGUCCAAGACAUCUGGAGGAAACCCAUUUGGGAAAAGUGGGUUAGUGAUGUCUUGUUGUCUCCACAGGUGGAAAGCCACUUGUUGCUGCUACUCACCUAAUUUACUCAGUUCGCGAAAUGGCAUCUGAUUCAAUCAGCAUCUGUUAUGGCCAAGCAGACACCAUGAAGGGUGUAUAGCUGGCCCUAAUAGCAACAUCUCCUCCCUGUAGGCUGGCAAAUGCUCUGCUUUACAGAGAACAGUCCUUUAUUUGAAAGUGUGCUCAAUGCAAAGGGCUGCCCCAUUCAAGUCCAGUUUAAAAAUGUGGAACCAUAAGAAAGGUGAACAAGUGGCCCGAAAGUUGCCCAUCAAGAAUAAGCACCUGAACAAGUGACUGAGCAGCAGACACUCAGGGUCAUCCCCAUCCAGCCAAGAUAUAUUGUAUUUCAAUAUAAACUAUACCAAUUGGUUCUACGUUCACGUUUAUUCAUCGGAAUUAGCAUGUAUAUAUCUUAGAGUACUUGAUACCCUCUUCUUCCUCUUAUUGGGCAAUGUGUCUCCUAUUUUCUGUUGAAACAGAAGAGGCCACUCUGUCCUUCUGAUGACAUCUAGCCAAAGAAGAUGUUCUUGCACUAUAAAUUUCCACUGCAACCAGAGUAAUGAGCGGAGAGGAGGGUGGGGAAACCCUGAGCAUGAUGACAUCACAUCUCACAGGUUCUUUUGACAGAUGUCACUGGGCAGCAGGGAGUAGGCCAAGACCAUCAAAGGUCCUGUUUGGCCCUCUGUGCUGUCUUCAGGGAAGGGCUGAUGGACUUCUGAACUGUGUGGUUGUCCACAGAUGUCACAGAUCUGUGAUGUUUUCAGCAGCCACAUACUGCUGCCAAACUGACCCAAUGACUUAGCAGUGCUCAGCUAAUCUUAUCACCUCUGCUGAUAACAGAGCUGCUGCAGUCUAUGCCUCCAAUGUGUUAAGAUCCCUUGCUUUACAUUCCACAGUUUCUUGGACAAGGGAAUGGUAUACCCAAUAUGCCAGCUUUGUUAGAAAAAAGCAUUUUGCGAACACAGCCAUUGCCAAAUGCACCUUGCAUCUGGCUAUAAUUUCAGCUACACCUGCUAAGUCAUGAGGCAGCAGCCAGGCAAGAUUCCUUCCUGAUCCAACUCUUUAACAGCAGCUUCAACAACUGGUGACUUAAAGAAGCCUUUUGGUAGUUUGAAGAGAAACAGCAGAAGCACAGGGUUCUUCUUGCUUCUGCUAAGUCUAAAAGAAAGCCUUGUGAAGAUCCAGAAAAGGAAAUUGUAGUCCAUCAAUCUAUUUCUCUGAUGCUUUUCCCCCAUUAGGUUGUGUUCAAAGCAGUUCACAAAAUGUGCACACUGUAAUACCACAACAAACGUAAUAGUUUAAAAUGUACAAUAUCAUUGAUUUAUUUAGCACAUCUGCAACACACCUAAGGAGCUCCAAGUGGCAUUCAUCAGACAGGCUUCAGUCCUGCAGCAUUUAUCUUGUUUUAUCUUGGAAAUCUACCAAGUAAAGCAUGUGCAAAAGUCAUAUAUUUUGCAUGAAAAAUUCUGAGCCUGAGAAUAUGCCCUGUGUACUAAACUGAAUAGAGCUCAUACUUCUUCCAUGCAAAAGUCUACUCCUGGUUUUCUCUCCUCAAUCAAAAUAUAGCAAAUAAAUUACAAUGCUUACCUUACUGAGUUUCAGCAAUUCCCCCAGUCCUUGACUCCUUGUGUGCUUCCAGAUGAGGUUUUUAUUGCCUCAUUUGCCUGCCUCAUUCACUAAAUUUUACAAAGGGGCCCAGACAUCAUUGCCUUCCACUCACAACCCUCCCAUGUUUUCCCACUCUUUCUCCUUUUUUCUAACUUGAGAAAAUUUAUUAAGGAUACAAGAUUUCUACAAAAUGACUUCUGUCUUUUGACUGGGAUCUCCCAUUGAGAAGCACCCCUUGAACCCAAGUAAGAUAAAGUCAAAAUUCCUGUUACUGCAUUGGCUCACUUUCCCUCUUCUAUCUUCCAUUCCUUCCUCCUAGCUGCUUGUAUUUUUGCUUUUCCCCUCCUUUCCUUCUGAUUCUUUUCUAUCUCAUAUAGAUUGUGUUUCUUUGGAAUUUAUCAUGCCCUCCUAAUUAUCAACACAUGGAGUACAAUCCACAUUUUACUGAAGUAUCCAGGAAAAUUGACAGAACUGCACCCAAAAAUAGACCAUAAUUUCCAGGUUCUUCUGGUCCAGAUUACUCAGAAGAAAUGCAUCCUAUGAGAGUAACUUACUUAUAAGUAGACUGGGAUAACUUACUUAUCCCAGUUAUCUCAGGCAGCAUACUGUACAUGGAAGUAAAACUCAUUAUGUCUGUGCUGUUUUUCAUAGGUUCUUCCCAAGCAAAUAGCUAGGACAAGCAAUGAGACACUGGAAGAGCUCAUUCAGCUUGGAUGUUUCUGUAAUAACUAGAAUAUAUAACUAGAAUUAAUGACUAGAAUACUGUAAUCUUGUCUGAAACUGUUGUGAGUAUAAUGGGAUAUUCCAGAAUUGGUGGUUUUAUGGAUUGCAACCAUAGAUACAGUUUCCUCAGCAUUGGCAAAACCUUAUUGAACAUUCCCUGCAUCUUGUUGCCCUUAUUGCUGGAAAUGCCUUGGAUGUUUCAGGCACUGAAGUUGGUAAAAUGGAAAUUAACUAAAGUAAUCAAGCACCAUCAACAUUAAAAGUUCAAAGAUUUUAAUAUGUGGUAUAUUUAAAAAAAAUUCUUCUGAAAGAAUCAGAUGUAAAGUUUCUAAUCAGCAGGUUCUCCUUUUACUUAGCUGGGAUUGUUUUAAUAAACCUUGUUCCUACUGUCCACUGAAACAUCGAUUUAUCCAGGUUUGGAAGAGGUCUGCAGAGAAUGGUGAUUGUGGUAUUUGAACUACAUUUGUAGUGGGGGAGGUCGGUCAGCAUUACCUUUGGCCUAUGGCUCAGAAUGGUUAGCAACACUCUGUGUGACAGUUUGAGCUAAUAUGUUUCAUUCUUAAUGCUGCUCAUCCCUAAUACAUUCUGCUACAUCCUAGAUGCAUUUUGAAUGCCUCAGGAUUACAUUUCUAAUGUAAAUGUAUAUGAUCUAGCUAGUCAAAGUGUUAGGCUCUAUCUUUCCAAACAAAACCCAUUUUCUUUCAUUAUUGAAAAUGUAAGGUGUGUUCACUAGGAGUCUGCCUGGAGAGAGUAUAUGCUCUAUUAAUGGAGGUUUAUAGAGGCUUUUGCCAUUCCUAUGGUAACCCAGUAGAAAGGCUGUUACCAUGGGGAUUAGCCAAGCCUAUGUAAACCUUCAGUCUUCAUUAGAGUAUCUCUGAGAGUGAAUGCUUUAACAAUUAGCAUUCUAGAAUGGCUAACAAUAAUCUCUGCUUUGGGGAAGGAUCUGUUCCUUCUUCCUGCUGGAGAUGGAUUGAUCUUGCCAGCUUUUCAAAGAUGAAAUUUUCAGCAACCUUCAUGUUUAAUUGUCCUAGAAUGUAGCUUCCCAAACCAUAGGUACAGUAGAUGAUGUGAUCAGUGGCAAAAGAGGCUGCCCACUCAAAGAAGCAUGCAUUCCAAACAGAUACUGAAUAUGAAGCUGUUGAAUGAAAAGCAUUCCUGUGAGAAAAGAUGGUUUCCAAUAGUCCUGUACCAAUCCCUGAUAAAUCCAGAAUAAUACUGGAUAAAGGCCAAUUAUGCCAAUAAAGCCAUGGCUGAUGGAAAGCACUAAUUAAAUAAAAAUGUCCCCAGCAGGGGACACCAUAUAGUCAGUAUCUGCCUUAGAUCAACAGGCAGAGAGGGAGCCAGUACAUUAACGCUGUACUCCAAGUGGACUCCAAGCAGAUCAGAGGUCCAUAUGGGAGCAGCAGGAGUGCAUCAUCUCAGGACCUCAGUGAAUGGGAAGACUAGUAGAGGAAAAGAUGGUCUCUCAGAUAUCCUGGCCCCAAGUAGUUUGGGGCUUUACCAAGUUGUUUACCAAAACUGAGGCUCAUUUCCCUCUUGAAUGUGCAUAAAUGGCAUGUCCUCUAUAGCUCCUUACAGAGCAAUCCUACUAAGAAAUAAGCCCUACUAACUUAAAUAGGGUUUACUCCCAGAUAAGUACAUGUGCCUGGGACUGCCGCCUUAGAGGAUUCUGUUCUAGGAGUUUACUAUAACAGAUUCCCAGCAAAAGCCUAUCUGUCAUGCCAGACACAGAACCAGGUCAGUCAGGCCCCUGAUCUCUGGUUUACACUUACAUACAAUGUCCCUCUGCCUAUUGGCUAAUUCUCUAGUCAUCUAAGGCCUUAACAUGAUGACCCCAGAUUCAUUUAUUCAUUAUAGUUCAUCACUGGAAUCAAAAAGAUGUUCUUGACUUGCCUGGUGGUGCUAAAAUUAGCAGAGAAAAGUGCAUAAGAUCCUAGCAGUACAUCAUCCUGGAUUUGUGGAUGGUUGAUAUAUAUGGCCUGAAAGCAUUUAGUGAAGGAGAAGGAUGAAGGACUGGUUCUGUGUUCUUAUUUUUCAGGAUGAUGACAUUUGUUUUUCAAGAUGAUUCAAUUAGGAAGUAUGUCAGCAAAAAGCUUUAAUCUCAUUAAACAAAAGCCCCUUUGCUUUUUAUUGGCUGCCUACUGGCAGUUUCUAAAGACAUGCCUUCUUCCCAUCUUCUCCGCUGCAAGGGAUAUGUCAGAACAAAUCUCACAGUAACAAGUUGCAUUAACUGCUUGACGUGGCUCUUCGCACGGACGUCAAGUGGAGUUGUUUAAUUAGUGUUUGAGACAUGAAGUGAUACAGUUCUCCUCAAAAACUAUUAUGGUUUGUUGACCUUUUUACAUAAAACUCCAAAUAAAGCUGCAUGUUGCUUGAAACAUAACAAAACAGAUUGCUUCAAUAUACACAACAAAGGCGGUCCAAGGAGCUCCGUGCAAAUAAGCAUCUAUUGCUUUCAGGGUUGGGAACUGAAGGCAUAAGUGAGCUAUGCAUUCAAUUACACAUCAGAAUGUGCAUCCAAGUAAGGAUGCAAUUGGUCCACAUUGUAUUGCUUUGGAGUAGCUAUGCAUUUUGAUGUGUAAUCCCUAUUCAAGUUCUUGUACCACUAGUUCCACUUUAAAACAUGUUAUUCAUUUAUUACAUUACACUUUGCUUGUACGAGAUUGGAUUGAGAGAAAUGAGAUGAAAAUACUGCACAAGCCCCAUACAUGAAAGAAGCAAAUGAAGUUUCUUCAGUCUCUGUCUUUGUAUGUCUUAUCACCCAAGAGAGAUCUUUCAUAUAGAUACCUUGCAGAUCAGGUGGAGCUAUUGCUUUUUAUUCCUUAGAUGAGUGAAUGGUGUAUCAGAAAGCUUUAGGUAAGGCAACAUCAAUACUUCUC